rnacentral:lncRNA from 1 species
UUCAGAUGUUUAUAAUUAGAGCUUUAUUCCUUUGGCACAAAUCAGAUAGCUUUGUGUGGAGUUAAGUUGCCUGGUAGAGCUAAUAGAUAAAGCCAUUGUCAGUCAUUUUUAGGAGUUAAAGUAAAUGAGUCUAUCGUGUCUUUUCCUGAGGGAGAGUUUUACUGAAGGGAUUAUAAAGGAAGAAGUGGGCGUAGGAACCUGAAACACCCCUCUCCCCAGAAUAAGCUGGAUCAAAAGCAUGAACCUGAGGUAACGUGGGACAAAAGCAAAAACGGGGAGAUGAAGAAAGACACAUUUUCCCCACCUCACAAUUUUGCUAGGCUUGGCUGGAUCUUGACCUAUCUUGUCGAUUCCCAGGUCAAACUCUGCUGCCUCGGUUUACUCACAGAAGAAGAACAAGAUUCAGAACAGAAACCACAAGCCUGGUUCCUCAGCAGAGCCAAUCUGGAGAAUAGGAAGGAAGCAUCUAGGGAUGGGGGACGGAGGUUGACUGGUGCCAAAGUGCGUCGGGCUGGAUGGGAGAGAGCAACAAAAGAAGCGUCUGUAGCCUCGGCAGUCAGAGAGCAUGUUGUCAGUCCGGAUGGGCUUGGCUUGGAGAUGUGUCAGGCUGGCUGCGGGGGGAGAGCAUGGCAGCCAGACGUAUGGAAGCUCAACGGCAUGCAGUCUUCUGGAAACAGAAAAUCGCACGCAGGUUUGCUCUUUCGGCAUCGACACAGUUACACAGGAGGAUGGAGCUGCAGGAAUGGAAUCCUCGGAAGUGAUGUGGACAGCUCAGACAAAAUCAUCCUAAGUGCUAGAAACAGCAUCUGAUUUUAUCCUUCCCACUGACAGCAGGAACUAUUUGGACAUUAAAUUAUUCACCGUCCCAGAUCUUUCAUUGGUCCACCAGCGAAGACUCUGGGAUUUCCAUGCAAAUCUCCAACAGUUUUGGUCUGCACGCCCCUUGCUCCCGGGUCCUCCCUCACCUGGCCGCUUUGGCCUUCCAGAGAGACAGCCUGGGGAAGGCAGAUUGUGAUCACACAU